UCAGGCCUAACACAUGCAAGUCGAACGGUAACGCGGGGGCAACCCUGGCGACGAGUGGCGAACGGGUGAGUAAUACAUCGGAACAUAUCCAGUAGCGGGGGAUAACCUAUCGAAAGAUUGGCUAAUACCGCAUACGAUCUACGGAUGAAAGCGGGGGACCGCAAGGCCUCGCACUAUUGGAGUGGCCGAUGUCAGAUUAGCUAGUUGGUGGGGUAAAAGCCUACCAAGGCGACGAUCUGUAGCUGGUCUGAGAGGACGAUCAGCCACACUGGAACUGAGACACGGUCCAGACUCCUACGGGAGGCAGCAGUGGGGAAUUUUGGACAAUGGGCGCAAGCCUGAUCCAAAAGUGCCGCGUGAGUGAAGAAGGCCUUCGGGUUGUAAAUCAAGAGGGUGAAGACGAAACGGUUAGGAUUAAUAACGC
rnacentral:rRNA from 1 species